GGAUCCAGACUUUGAUUAUGGCUCAGGAUGAACGCUAGCUACAGGCUUAACACAUGCAAGUCGAGGGGAAACGACAUCGAAAGCUUGCUUUUGAUGGGCGUCGACCGGCGCACGGGUGAGUAACGCGUAUCCAACCUGCCCACCACUUGGGGAUAACCUUGCGAAAGUAAGACUAAUACCCAAUGACGUCUCUAGAAGACAUCUGAAAGAGAUUAAAGAUUUAUCGGUGAUGGAUGGGGAUGCGUCUGAUUAGCUUGUUGGCGGGGUAACGGCCCACCAAGGCAACGAUCAGUAGGGGUUCUGAGAGGAAGGUCCCCCACAUUGGAACUGAGACACGGUCCAAACUCCUACGGGAGGCAGCAGUGAGGAAUAUUGGUCAAUGGCGAGAGCCUGAACCAGCCAAGUAGCGUGCAGGAUGACGGCCCUAUGGGUUGUAAACUGCUUUUAUAAGGGAAUAAAGUGAGUCUCGUGAGACUUUUUGCAUGUACCUUAUGAAUAAGGACCGGCUAAUUCCGUGCCAGCAGCCGCGGUAAUACGGAAGGUCCGGGCGUUAUCCGGAUUUAUUGGGUUUAAAGGGAGCGUAGGCCGGAGAUUAAGCGUGUUGUGAAAUGUAGACGCUCAACGUCUGCACUGCAGCGCGAACUGGUUUCCUUGAGUACGCACAAAGUGGGCGGAAUUCGUGGUGUAGCGGUGAAAUGCUUAGAUAUCACGAAGAACUCCGAUUGCGAAGGCAGCUCACUGGAGCGCAACUGACGCUGAAGCUCGAAAGUGCGGGUAUCGAACAGGAUUAGAUACCCUGGUAGUCCGCACGGUAAACGAUGGAUGCCCGCUGUUGGUCUGAAUAGGUCAGCGGCCAAGCGAAAGCAUUAAGCAUCCCACCUGGGGAGUACGCCGGCAACGGUGCAACUCAAAUGAAUUGACGG
rnacentral:rRNA from 1 species